rnacentral:rRNA from 1 species
AGAGUUUGAUCCUGGCUCAGGAUGAAUGCUGGCGGCGUGCCUAACACAUGUAAGUCGAACGGUGAACCUUGCUUUUAGUGAGGGGAUCAGUGGCGAACGGGUGAGUAACACGUAGGUGACCUGCCCCAGAGAAGAGAAUAACCAUGCGAAAGCGUGGCUAAUACUCUAUAAGGUCGGUUAUUCGAUUAGCCGAUUAAAGCUACGGCGCUCUGGGAGGGGCCUGCGGCCCAUCAGCUAGUUGGUAGGGUAAAGGCCUACCAAGGCGAUGACGGGUAGCUGGUCUGAGAGGACGAUCAGCCACAAUGGGACUGAAACACGGCCCAUACUCCUACGGGAGGCAGCAGUGAGGAAUAUUGGACGAUCAACGAAAGUUGGAUCCAGCAACGCCGCGUGGAUGAUGAAGGCCUUCGGGUUGUAAAAUCCUUUUAAGAGGGAAGAGAACGGACGGUACCUCUUGAAUAAGUCUCGGCUAACUACGUGCCAGCAGCCGCGGUAACACGUAGGAGGCGAGCGUUAUCCGGAUUUAUUGGGCGUAAAGCGCGUGCAGGCGGCUGGGUAAGUCGGGUGUGAAAGCCCCAGACUCAAUCUGGGGAGGUCACUCGAUACUGCCUGGCUUGAGAGCGGGAGAGGGAAGCAGAAUUCUGGGUGUAGUGGUGAAAUGCGUAGAUAUCCAGAGGAAUACCAGUGGCGAAGGCGGCUUCCUGGCCCGUUUCUGACGCUGAGACGCGAAAGCGUGGGUAGCGAGCGGAAUUAGAAACUCCGGUAGUCCACGCCGUAAACGAUGGGUACUAGGUGUGGGGAGUAUUAACCCUCUCCGUGCCGCAGCAAACGCGUUAAGUACCCCGCCUGCAGACUACGGCCGCAAGGCUAAAACGCAAAGGAAUUGACGGGGGCCCGCACAAGCAGCGGAGCGUGUGGUUCAAUUCGAAAAUACACGAAGAACCUUACCUGGGUUUGACAUGUUAGUAGUAGUGAAGCGAAAGCGGAACGAUCCUUCGGGAAGCUAUCACAGGUGCUGCAUGGCUGUCGUCAGCUCGUGCCGUGAGGUGUUGGGUUAAGUCCUGUAACGAGCGCAACCCUUACUGCCAGUUACAAGUGUCUGGCGGAACUGCCGGUGACAAACCGGAGGAAGGUGAGGAUGACGUCAAGUCAGCAUGGCCUUUAUAUCCAGGGCUACACACGUGCUACAAUGGCCGGUACAGAGAGCGGCGAAGGGGUGACCUGGAGCUAAUCUCCUAAAGCCGGUCGUAGUCCGGAUUGGAGUCUGCAACUCGACUCCAUGAAGUCGGAAUCGCUAGUAAUCGCGAAUCAGCAUUGUCGCGGUGAAUACGUUCCCGGGCCUUGUACACACCGCCCGUCACACCAUGGGAGUUGGCUGCACCAGAAGCCGGUAGCUUAACCUUCGGGGGGGCGCCGACCACGGUGUGGUCAAUGACUGGGGUGAAGUCGGAACAAGGUA